AGUGAACGCUGGCGGCAGGCCUAACACAUGCAAGUCGAGCGGCAGCGCGUCCGACCACCCUCGGGUGGUCGGAUGGCGGCGAGCGGCGGACGGGUGAGGAAUGCAUCGGAAUCUGCCUCGUUGUGGGGGAUAACGUAGGGAAACUUACGCUAAUACCGCAUACGACCUACGGGUGAAAGUGGGGGACCUUCGGGCCUCACGCGAUGAGAUGAGCCGAUGCCGGAUUAGCUAGUUGGCGGGGUAAAGGCCCACCAAGGCGACGAUCCGUAGCUGGUCUGAGAGGAUGAUCAGCCACACUGGAACUGAGACACGGUCCAGACUCCUACGGGAGGCAGCAGUGGGGAAUAUUGGACAAUGGGGGGCAACCCUGAUCUAGUCAUGCCGCGUGAGUGAUGAAGGCCCUAGGGUUGUAAAGCUCUUCAGCUGGGAAGAUAAUGACGGUACCAGCAGAAGAAGCCCCGGCUAACGUCCGUGCCAGCAGCCG
rnacentral:rRNA from 1 species